UACGUAGGGGGCAAGCGUUGUCCGGAAUCAUUGGGCGUAAAGCGCGUGUAGGCGGCCAGGUAAGUCCGUUCUGAAAGCCCGGGGCUCAACCCCGGGAGGCGGAUGGAUACUGCUUGGCUCGAGUCCGGAAGAGGCGAGUGGAAUUCCCGGUGUAGCGGUGAAAUGCGCAGAUAUCGGGAAGAACACCCGUGGCGAAGGCGGCUCUCUGGGACGGUACUGACACUGAGACGCGAAAGCGUGGGGAGCGAACAGG
rnacentral:rRNA from 1 species